rnacentral:rRNA from 1 species
UACGUAGGGGGCAAGCGUUGUCCGGAUUUAUUGGGCGUAAAGAGCGUGUAGGCGGCUGGGUAGGUCCGCUGUGAAAACUCGAGGCUUAACCUCGAGACGUCGGUGGAAACCAUCCAGCUAGAGUCCGGAAGAGGAGAGUGGAAUUCCUGGUGUAGCGGUGAAAUGCGCAGAUAUCAGGAAGGACACCCGUGGCGAAAGCGGCUCUCUGGGACGGUACUGACGCUGAGACGCGAAAGCGUGGGGAGCGAACAGG